UUGAAAUGGUGUUUGUCGUAUUUUUCACGGUCGGAAGAAAAUACAAUGGUUUUGGAGAGUAUGGGAGGUUGGAGCAGUGGCUUCUCGACGGUGUUGUGGUGUUUUUUUGGUGUGUUUCUUUGAGGGUGAAAACAAAACGGAUGGAGUAACGAUUGUUGUUGGAAGUGAUGUGGUGGUUUUCGGGAAUAGUAACUUGCGUUUUUGUGUUUACAG
rnacentral:lncRNA from 1 species